rnacentral:lncRNA from 1 species
AGUCUUUAGUAUGGUUAUGGAACUCGCAACUAGGAUAACAGAGAUUUACUUAUAGUAAUAAUGAACCACAUACUACAUUUUACAGAUAACCAGGAUUCAGUUUACAUCAUUUACAUCUUUUACAUCUUUUACAAAUGAUAACCAACAUUCAGGACGGUAUGGGACCUUCUUGGGAAGUCUUGUACAUAACCAGGUCUAACAAAAUACACCUUUUACAUUGAAAACCAACAUACAGGAAAGCAUGANUUUGUGGUUGUAAACUCAAUUAAAUGUUUACUUAUGGAGAGUAAACUUAAGUCCCAAGUCCUUAGUGCCUUUACACGUCCGAAGAUGUCACCCAGGUCACUCCAAACGCUCAUUUUGAGGUGUUUAACCUCGUUGGAGUGUAAUGUUCCAUAUGAUUAGUGAAUGUAUCCCUAAUAGUAUAUAUAUGGACAUUAUUUCAUUUUACAUAGGGUCAUCGCAAGUAAACAAUCCCCGAAUCAACGUCUAGUAUCCAAAACCGACACAUUCUCGAGUNUGUGGUUGUAAACUCAUUUAAAUGUUUACUUAUGGAGAGUAAACUCAAGUCCCAAGUCCCUAGUGCCAUUACACGUCCGAAGAUAUCACCCGGGUCACUCCAAACGCUCAUUUUGAGGUGUUUAACCUCGUUGGAGUGUAAUGUUCCAUAUGAUUAGUGAAUGUAUCCCUAAUUGUAUAUAUAUGGACAUCAUUUCAUUUUACAUAGGGACAUCGCGAGUAAACAAUCCCCGAAUCAACGUCUAGUAUCCAAAACCGACACAUUCCCGAGUCCGGUGAGUUCAUACCCCUACCCUUUUUCACUGUUUUUCACUGUUUUCAGGGGGGAACACAAGCAAAGUACAAGGGUUUUCUUGUACUCAAAACUUAUUUUCAUGUGUGUACUUCACAUUUCAUAUGCUUUUAAUAUUGAUUACGCAACUGAUAACGAGUUGAAUACACAGAUUACUUAAACACUUAUUUGUGAAAUGAGUUUUAUAAACUUUUAUGUUUUAUAUAUUUCACAAAUGGUUUCCACACUUUAUCAGUUAAAAGCAUGACUUAUAACACAUGAACAAUAUAUUUCGUACACUGUCUUGUCCUCGGUAACAUUCCACAGAGAUACGUGAAUGGAGGAUUAUCCUAUUAUUACUAGUAAAUUUGUUAUUCCGUAUGAUUGGAGACACGUCCUCGGCAAACACUCCACAGAGAUACGCGAGUGGAGGACUACACCCGUAACCAGAAUCUCUGGAAUUUAGAGAGCGUGACUUGAGUGUAUAGAUCUAUACGGGGCUGACUACCCCACACCUGGCUGCUAGCUACAGCCGAACCAAAAUGGUUCAAGGGUGACGAAAGUCAUAAGGAUUGUGGACUACUUAUUGCCACAAGGUUGUGGACUACUUAUUGCCACAGGUUCAGUCUUUAGUAUGGUUAUGGAACUCGCAAUUAGGAUAACAAAGAUUUACUUAUAGUAAUAAUGAACCACAUACUACAUUUUACAGAUAACCAGGAUUUAGUUUACAUCUUUUACAUCUUUUGCAAAUGAUAACCAACAUUCAGGACGGUAUGGGACCUUCUUGGGAAGUCUUGUACAUAACCAGGUCUAACAAAAUACAUCUUUUACAUUGAAAACCAACAUACAGGAAAGCAUGGGGCAUUCCUGGGUAACAUUCACAUAAUCAGAAAAGAGUAACCAACUGAAUAACAUUACAUCUUUUACAAUAAUCACCCUUCAGGAAAGUAUGGGACUUUCCUGGGAAUACACUGACACAUUAAAGACAUAAAACAAUGAAUUGGAUAACUAAACCAUACCUUACUUUUAUGAAACAAUAAUCAACUUUAAGAAAAUAUGGGAUUUUCUUGGCGUGUGUUACAUUUUCAGAAACAGAAAGGAAACAUAAACAUUUUCACAAAACUACUUAUGAACUCACCAGCGUUAUGCUGAUUUUCAAACUGCUUGUGUUCUCAGGUCAU